rfam:Amphibacillus xylanus NBRC 15112 DNA, complete genome.
AUUUUCAAAUCUGAGCAAGCUGCACAUUAUUUCUUACUAUGCAGCCCGGUCACGAUUGUGACAGCAGAGUAUACCUAUCCUAGGGUACAUCUGUGAGACAGUA